UACGUAGGGAGCAAGCGUUGUCCGGAAUUAUUGGGCGUAAAGAGCGUGUAGGCGGCCAGAUAAGUCCGCUGUGAAAUCUCGAGGCUCAACUUCGAGCUGUCGGUGGAAACUAUCUGGCUAGAGUCCGGAAGAGGAGAAUGGAAUUCCUGGUGUAGCGGUGAAAUGCGCAGAUAUCAGGAGGAACACCGAUGGCGAAGGCAGGUCUCUGGGCCACUACUGACGCUGAGAAGCGAAAGCAUGGGGAGCGAACAGG
rnacentral:rRNA from 1 species